UACGGAGGGAGCUAGCGUUGUUCGGAAAUACUGGGCGUAAAGCGCACGUAGGCGGCGCAGCAAGUCAGGGGUGAAAUCCCGGGGCUCAACCUCGGAACUGCCCUUGAAACUGCAGUGCUAGAAUCUUGGAGAGGCGAGUGGAAUUCCGAGUGUAGAGGUGAAAUUCGUAGAUAUCGAGAGGAACACCUGCGGCGAAGGCGGGUUGCUGGGCUGAUACUGACGCUGAGGCGCGAAAGCCAGGGGAGCGAACGGG
rnacentral:rRNA from 1 species